CCUACGGGAGGCAGCAGUAGGGAAUUUUCCGCAAUGGGCGAAAGCCUGACGGAGCAAUCUCGCGUGAGGGAUGACGGCCUAUGGGUUGUAAACCUCUUUUUUCAGGGAGGAAUAUAUGACGUGUACCUGAAGAAUAAGCAUCGGCUAACUCCGUGCCAGCAGCCGCGGUAAGACGGAGGAUGCAAGUGUUAUCCGGAAUCACUGGGCGUAAAGCGUCUGUAGGUUGUUUAAUAAGUCAACUGUUAAAUCUUAAAGCUCAACUUUGAAAUCGCAGUCGAAACUAUUAGACUAGAGUAUAGUAGGGGUAAAGGGAAUUUCCAGUGGAGCGGUGAAAUGCGUAGAGAUUGGAAAGAACACCGAUGGCGAAGGCACUUUACUGGGCUAUUACUAACACUCAGAGACGAAAGCUAGGGUAGCAAAUGGGAUUAGAUACCCCAGUAGUCCUAGCCGUAAACAAUGGAUACUAGAUGUUGAACAGAUCGACCUGUGCAGUAUCAAAGCUAACGCGUUAAGUAUCCCGCCUGGGAAGUAUGCUCGCAAGAGUGAAACUCAAAUGAAUUGACGG
rnacentral:rRNA from 1 species